UUAGGUAACGCGACAUGCUAAUACAUGCAAGUCGAGCGGACUUGAUGGGAGCUUGCUCCCUGAUAGUUAGCGGCGGACGGGUGAGUAACACGUGGGCAACCUACCUUUAAGACUGGGAUAACUUCGGGAAACCGGAGCUAAUACCGGAUAACAUAUAAGACCACAUGGUCUUAUAUUAAAAGAUGGCUUCGGCUAUCACUUAUAGAUGGGCCCGCGGCGCAUUAGCUAGUUGGUGAGGUAAUGGCUCACCAAGGCGACGAUGCGUAGCCGACCUGAGAGGGUGAUCGGCCACACUGGGACUGAGACACGGCCCAGACUCCUACGGGAGGCAGCAGUAGGGAAUCUUCCGCAAUGGACGAAAGUCUGACGGAGCAACGCCGCGUGAACGAUGAAGGCUUUCGGGUCGUAAAGUUCUGUUGUUAGGGAAGAACAAGUACCAGAGUAACUGCUGGUACCUUGACGGUACCUAACCAGAAAGCCACGGCUAACUACGUGCCAGCAGCCGCGGUAAUACGUAGGUGGCAAGCGUUAUCCGGAAUUAUUGGGCGUAAAGCGCUCGCAGGCGGUCUUUUAAGUCUGAUGUGAAAGCCCACGGCUCAACCGUGGAGGGUCAUUGGAAACUGGGAGACUUGAGUGCAGAAGAGGAGAGUGGAAUUCCACGUGUAGCGGUGAAAUGCGUAGAGAUGUGGAGGAACACCAGUGGCGAAGGCGACUCUCUGGUCUGUAACUGACGCUGAGGAGCGAAAGCGUGGGGAGCGAACAGGAUUAGAUACCCUGGUAGUCCACGCCGUAAACGAUGAGUGCUAAGUGUUAGAGGGUUUCCGCCCUUUAGUGCUGCAGCUAACGCAUUAAGCACUCCGCCUGGGGAGUACGGUCGCAAGACUGAAACUCAAAGGAAUUGACGGGGGCCCGCACAAGCGGUGGAGCAUGUGGUUUAAUUCGAAGCAACGCGAAGAACCUUACCAGGUCUUGACAUCCUUAUGCCAACCCUAGAGAUAGGGCUUUCCCUUCGGGGACAUAAGUGACAGGUGGUGCAUGGUUGUCGUCAGCUCGUGUCGUGAGAUGUUGGGUUAAGUCCCGCAACGAGCGCAACCCUUGAUCUUAG
rnacentral:rRNA from 1 species